UUUCACCCAUGUCUUUUGCGCACUUGUUGUUUCCUGGGCGGGUUCGCCCGCCACCAGGACCAAACCAUAAACCUUUUUCUUAUGCAGUUUCCAUCAGCGUCAGUAAAAACAAUGUAAUAAUUACAACUUUCAACAACGGAUCUCUUGGUUCUGGCAUCGAUGAAGAACGCAGCGAAAUGCGAUACGUAGUGUGAAUUGCAGAAUUCAGUGAAUCAUCGAAUCUUUGAACGCACAUUGCGCCCUUUGGUAUUCCAAAGGGCAUGCCUGUUCGAGCGUCAUUUGUACCUUCAAGCUUUGCUUGGUGUUGGGCGUUUUUGUCUCCCUCUUUCUGGGAGACUCGCCUUAAAACGAUUGGCAGCCGGCCUACUGGUUUCGGAGCGCAGCACAUUUUUUGCGCUUUGUAUCAGGAGAAAAGGACGGUACUCCAUCAAGACUUUUACAAUUUUAACUUUUGACCUCGGAUCAGGUAGGGAUACCCGCUGAACUUAAGCAUAUCAAUAAGCGGAGGAAAAGAAACCAACAGGGAUUGCCCUAGUAACGGCGAGUGAAGCGGCAACAGCUCAAAUUUGAAAUCUGGCUCUUUCAGAGUCCGAGUUGUAAUUUGCAGAGGGCGCUUUGGCUUUGGCAGCGGUCCAAGUUCCUUGGAACAGGACGUCACAGAGGGUGAGAAUCCCGUACGUGGUCGCUAGCUAUUGCCGUGUAAAGCCCCUUCGACGAGUCGAGUUGUUUGGGAAUGCAGCUCUAAAUGGGAGGUAAAUUUCUUCUAAAGCUAAAUAUUGGCCAGAGACCGAUAGCGCACAAGUAGAGUGAUCGAAAGAUGAAAAGCACUUUGGAAAGAGAGUCAAACAGCACGUGAAAUUGUUGAAAGGGAAGCGCUUGCAGCCAGACUUGCUUGCAGUUGCUCAUCCGGGCUUUUGCCCGGUGCACUCUUCUGUAGGCAGGCCAGCAUCAGUUUGGGCGGUGGGAUAAAGGUCUCUGUCACGUACCU
rnacentral:rRNA from 1 species